rnacentral:lncRNA from 1 species
AUAAAUUAACUUCAAAGAAGAUAAGAGAUACUAGAUUCCAUUUAGGAGUUGGGCUUCUAAUUUGCUCGACUCCGAAGUUCUACUCCUAGUAGCGAUUGACCCAAUGUUGGGUUAAAACGAGUUCCGCUGCGGAACUCCAACUCCCGAGUUUACAUGUUAAAAAAAGAAAGAUAAAGAUUAAUAACUUAUGAAAUAAUCAGGAAAUAUACAUGAAUUGGUAAUGGAUAUUAGCAAAAUACAUCAAACAUCGUUUAUAGUUCCAACAAAGAAAACAAACUUAUUAACUUAAACCAGGAAGCACCUUUCCAUUUAACUGGACUUAAACAUACUCCAAAUAUAAUGCUAGGAGCCAAAUUGAGAUGAUCUGUUUCAAUUUCAAUCAACUUUGUACUUAAGAGAAUAAAGGCCUACGCAUCUCGUGGCUCCCCUUGAAGAGCCAAAGCUAGAUUGCUAACGUAACAAUAUUAUAAAAACCUUCUAAAUUAUAAUAUCAAUGUUGGUUCCUGUGUUGUGAACCCAAACUUAUACUAUUAUCCAACAUUAUCUUGUACCUAUAAUAUUUAAAUACUUUAGUACACACAAGUUACGUAACAACUCUAUUAACGUUUCAACACUAAAAGGAUUGCAAAAAAUCCAAUCUCGAUCCCGAUACUAGAAUACAAACAAGAGCCUCUCAGAACAAAAACAUAAAAUCCAAAUAUAAUUCGAGAAGCAAGCCAAAACUGAACGCAUUAUUCUUGCAUGAAAAUAACUUGAACAUAUCAUUCUUGCGCGUAAGGCAUAUUCCAGAUUUCAUUCGUAUCUUAUUUCGACAACUAAUUCGCCCACUAUUACACCUGCCUAUAGACCUAUGGAUUUAAACAUGAAAUUCAAGAAAAGAGAAAAAAAAAACUUUGGGGAUCAAAUCUAGAGAUUGCUGCAAAGGAAAAUUUCUAUCAUGGGUUUUAACAACCUAACUUAUUUGUGUUAAGACUUCAAACUACAUUUCCCAUUACUUUUACUUUAAACAACUUCAGCAAAGUAAAGGACCUUAGCAAAAUAAGAACGGUAGCAGACAUAGAUUUAUUUCUGGGGGACUAUUAUUAAAUGCCUGUUCUCCCAGGGAAUGGGACUUCAUUCGACAUCAAAAUAUGAUUUGUGAUCCGAUUCUCGUAACGUAAAUGAAAAAAAAAAAAACUGAAACUAGGAUGAAGUAUUUGCGAAACCAAAAGCGUGGAUUCGCUAUUACCACAUAAAAAAGGUAAUAAAAGGGGUGUAUGAAACCCGAAUACUCUUUUAGUAUUUUAAAUUAAGUAAACUAGUACCUAAACUAGUAUUUUCAGGAGCAAAACAUGUUUCAAGAGAGGGGCGAAACUGGUUUAAAUCAAGCUAUCUAUUCAGCACACACUCAAGGAGAGUUGCAAAUAUUUAUAUCCGAUCUUUAGAUAAAAGAAAACCACAUGAAAUUUAUUUCUACUUAGGAGUGAGCACAAACCAAACUAAUAGAUGAAACUCUGCAGGGAGAUACGAAUCAGUAAGAAAAUGGUUUUUCUCUCAUUAUUAGGAGAAUAAAAAUAAUCAACUCCGGCAACCAUAGACAAGACCCGGACCUAAAUACGCACCAAAUAACAUCAAAGGUGACCUUGUUGUUCAGUUUUGGCUACAGGGCACGUACCAAGGUUGACAUAUACUAAUGGCUCAAGUAAAUGCUAACUAUAAACAAAGCUUAACCAACCAAAAAUAAUGACCUUAAAUUUUAAUAUUCCAUCUUUAUCAUAAGGAGUUAACUAUUUUUCAUCAAGCAAUCCGAAGCAAACUUCACUAUGAUGCCCGAUAAACGACCUCAAACCAUGUUCACGUAGACCAGGUAGUCAAGAAAUUUAAUCAAGAUCAUGUGUCAGACUUGAUUUUUACAAAAAAAAAAAAAAAAAAAAAAAAAGGACUACAAACCCCAACCAAAAUUGUAACUGAGUCGAGCCUUAUGUUUUCAUACCCGUAGACCGGUACGUUUGCAUUUUCACCCCCACAGAGAUGCCUCACAAAAUCAAAACUAGUUUUAUCCGCAAGCCGACAGAAAACAACUAAACUUCCAAAAUCACAUAUUUUAAAAUAACAGAUUCCGACUAAAAAGAUUGUGCUCAUGAGUUUGAUUUACAGGUGGAAUAAGUAGCAAUAUCAACACACAUAUACAUACUUAGCCGGAUAUGAAAAUAAGAAGAUAUGAUGCUUUUCACACCAAUUUGUUUUCCACAACAUCAAAUCCAAUUUUGGAUGAAACCAAACCCAAAACCAAUUCACAAAUAAUCGGACCACAACACCAUCAUAACUAAUUAAAGUUAAAGACCACCUAUUCACUAACAUCAAUUUUCUAGAAGCAACAAAAACAAAAUAAUCUUCGUCGACGCUCACAUACGAACCCAAUUUUCAAAAUCGGUUAGCAACUUUAGACUUUGACUGAAAUUUACCUCUAAAUCCAUUUUAGAAUCAAGACCAUAUUUAGCCUCUAAGGUAACAAAAAAUGUCCACAACAAAUUUCAAAAUGGAUUGUCGUUAUAAGUUCAUAGAACAAACGAUAAGAAAUAUAAAAAAUGAAGAAACAAAAUCAAAAGGGGGAAAUUCACUCCUUUUUGGGGGCAGAAAAUGGGAGCUUUUUGUCAAAAUGUUUUCUGGCGAUGGAUUCAACUUUUGGGGAUUUUGAACGCCUGCGAUCUAGUUCACUCGAUCUUACACUAUUUUUUUUUUUUCACUCUUUCCUUAAUUUUCUUCCUUCUUUUUGCCUUCUCCUUACUCUUUUCUUUUUUUCCUCCAAUUUUCUUCUGCUCUCCUAAAGGAAUGACCAUAACCCCCUUUAUAAGCACACUCUGGAGUGUGAGAGCUUCUCAAGGAGGCUCCAAAUUGAAUUCAAAAUUCAAAUUCAAAUUGUUGAUGGAAUAAUCCACAAGUUUUGAAAGAAAAUAGAGUAAAAAUAGGGAUUUACCCCUUUUUCAGGAUGAUUUGAAAGGCAUGAGGGAUGAACAUGAACUUGUUAUCUUCUUAUCCAAGUUAACAGUGGAGAGGGUGAGACUUUGGGCCCUCAAGCCAUAGAAAUAGGAGAAGAAGGGAUUCACGCUGACAAGAUUUAAUGGAUUUGAGGUGAGAAAUAUGACUUCGCAGGGAUAAGAUCUGGGUUCUUUGACUUGGAGGACUUCGAUUGAUUGUCGUCACUGUUUGGCGGAUUUUUGGCGUGGGAAGAUGGGAUAAGCAGGCAGUGGUUGAGUUUUGUCGGGGUAGGAGGUGGGGUGGUGGAGAUGAAAUAAGGAAGAGAGGAGGAAGAAGAUCUCACUUAUUAAGGAAAGGGAUAAGAUGUAAUACUGCUU